UGCUUCCUCAGGAGCUGCUUCAGUUGUUGGAGGAUGGAGAAGAGGACGCAGCCAUGACUUGUGAGACGGCGUCUGAGUCAGCUACUGCUCACUAGGAGAUCAGAAACAUGGUGUCCUCGCAAAAGUGGAACGAGGCCAGGCCUUGUCUUAUAGACAAUAUGUUAGCUACUCUGGAUCCACUGUCACACCGUGUGUGUCAGUGUGGCAAACAAGUAGUUGUGAGGUGUCUGGACUGCCUGCCUCUUCCAUUCCUUUGUGCUGAGUGUGAUAUUGCAGUUCACACACGCUUUGUCCUGCACAACAGAGAGGCAGUAACAGAAGGGUUUUUGCAGCCUUCAUCAGAGUUUCACAAGCCAAUAGUUCGGCUGUUGCCUGUGCAAAGCCCAGACCAUGUGUGUGACUGCCCAGCAGGUAAUGUUGAGGUUUCACCCGGCGCAAUUGUGGCUCUUGUAACCAUAAAUGGUAAGUUUGCUCUUUUGUCACACAGUACAUACACAAUAGAUGUGUUUGCAGGUUUUAGUGCAAAUUGUACAUUGCUGUCAUCAUCAUCAUCGUUUAUUUAUAUAGCACUUUAAAAACACACAAGGCUGACCAAAGUGCUGAACAAUAGAAACAUAAUAGAUACAUAUAUAAGAAUUGCUAUCUUGUUUUGAAUUACACUCGGCCCGCAGUAUAUGUGGGCACCUGUCAAAGGUCAUUUGGAUUUACCAGAUCGCUUUGAAAACAACAUGAAAAAAAUGAACGCUUUGAGCCAUGACUGAAUUUAUCCUUAUCCUUCCUAAAGGCCGGUAUAACCUUGCACUGCCAGUGGUGAGCUGCACCAGCUGUGGCCUAAUGUGGUCCCCCUCAGUUAAGGACAUCCUGGGUAGUGGAUAUUGGCCUGGCACCUUAAAUUUCUGCACCCUGUUUUCAAUGGAUUUCUUUCAGUCUUUCUAUGACAUUAAGAAGGCUGCACCAGGGAUGUCACUUAAGGCAUUUGUCAAAAUGCUGGAUGAAAGAACAGCCCAUUUUGGAAGGACUGGCCGAAUAUCAGCUGAUGCCUUCAGUAAAAGCUUUGUGGAGUGGAGUGCUGUAAAGUUUGAGGUGGACAGGAUGUGCAAGGAGCCAAGGAGCCAUGCAUUAGCUGCCCUGCCUGCACUCCAGACAUGCUUGCCGUCUCAGUUGAUGGAAACCAUAAGCUUUAUCGCAUUCAAUCAAAUACAAGGUACAUUAUGCAUUGUGUACAUAAAUCAAAUAUGGCUUUGUAGAAAAAAGUAUUUUAAUGUUUCUUUUCAAACAACUGUCACUCUAUCCAUUCAGCACUUCAGAGCAGGUGAACUAUGAAGGUGUCUUCAUUGAAAAAGAUGAGGAAGUUGCUGAGUUUAUGAAAUACAUCCAGAGACACACAAAUGAUGUAAGAGACGCAUAAAUAUUAGUGCUGUCAGCGUUAAUCUUGUUAAAAUGACGUUAACGCCAUAACCAUAUACACAUAUGUGUGUGUGUGUGUGUGUGUGUGUGUGUGUGUGUGUGUGUGUGAUAUGGAUGGGUGGAUAUUUAUUUUAUUUUUCUCUUGGUGUUGUCGUAAUACUAUUUACUUUACUUUAUCUUAAUGUGUACUUAAUUUUGUCACCAUGUGUAUUU